GCCUUCUUAGUGCAGUUGGCAGCGUGUCAGUUUCAUAAUCUGAAGGUCCUGAGUUCAAGCCUCAGAGAAGCAAUGGCU